rnacentral:snRNA from 11 species
AGACUAAUGCUGCAGUGGCAGUAUCUUAGCCAAUGAUAUUAAUCCAAGGCGUGAUUAUUGCUAAUUAAAAAAUUAUCCUGUUUUUCACUUAUGCAAAUGGCAUAAACAAUGUAGCACAUGUCUAAUUUUUUUUCUUUUUACAGAG